rnacentral:sRNA from 1 species
AUAAUGUAUCGACGGGAACCUGCGUCACUGCCAUGCUGCGGAUUCGGCAUUGCGGCGUCGGUCUCGUGGUCGAAGGGAAGCGAGCGGUCUUGCCAAUUUUUGCCAAAACCGGUACAGUCACUU